GGAGUGCAUCACAUCAAAGCUGGCCCGGCGAGGGCGAACCCCAUGAUGCAUCCUCUCUUCCCGCUGAUCACGGGCCAUUCAGUCGGAGCAAAAGCGGUGAUCCCGGUGGAGCGGAGAAGGCGAGAGGAAAACGAAUUGAAUUAACAUAAUCAACAACAGCUCGAGCCAGACACGCUUGCCAGUUGCAACAGCACCGCUGCCAGCGUCAGCCGAGGCGAUCGCAGUGGAGACCGGAGAGAAGAGUUGCGAGGGUGCCACUUUUCAUCGCACAGAGAUCUAUCCAAAUAAGGCCUGCAAGUUGGAUUAAAGUGACAACAGCAUUUUUCCAUCCUCUGAUUGAUUGAGCUAACUAUGUGCAUCAAAGUUGGAUUUAUGAGAAGCGUGAAUGUGGGAAAUGAAUUCAAAUUUAUUUUCCAGACGGACUUUUCUCGAAAAACUCGACCUUGGUGCGAGAGUAGGGUGACCAACAAUGUCAUUGGAUGGCUUGAAAGAAUUUAUUCAGCACUUUGAAAGCAACUUUUAUAGACCAGGUACUAAAUAGAGCAAAAUGUGAUGUAAAAAUGUGGAAAUCGGGUUCAUAUUGAUUUACAUUUUAGUGAAGGAAAAAAAUAAGAAUAAUAAUCCUGGCUCAUGGGUUUGUUUCCGCUUUGGUUUGUUGAUGGAUGG